rnacentral:rRNA from 1 species
UACGUAGGUGGCAAGCGUUAUCCGGAAUUAUUGGGCGUAAAGCGCGCGCAGGCGGUCCUUUAAGUCUGAUGUGAAAGCCCACGGCUCAACCGUGGAGGGUCAUUGGAAACUGGGGGACUUGAGUGCAGAAGAGGAGAGCGGAAUUCCACGUGUAAGCGGUGAAAUGCGUAGAGAUGUGGAGGAACACCGGUGGCGAAGGCGGCAUCCUGGACCAACACUGACGCUGAGGAGCGAAAGCCAGGGGAGCAAAACGGG